rnacentral:rRNA from 1 species
CAGCCGCCGCGGGAAAACGGAGGGUGCGAGCGUUAAUCGGAAUUACUGGGCGUAAAGCGUACGCAGGCGGUUUGUUAAGUCAGAUGUGAAAUCCCCGAGCUUAACUCGGGAACUGCAUUUGAAACUGGCAGGCUAGAGUCUCGUAGAGGAUGGUGGAAUUCCCGGUGUAGCGGUGAAAUGCGUAGAGAUCGGGAGGAACAUCAGUGGCGAAGGCGGCCAUCUGGGACAACACUGACGCUGAGGCACGAAAGCGUGGGGAGCAAACAGGAUUAGAUACCCCGGUAGUCCCUGUCUCUUAUAC